CGCAGCCUACGGGGCGCAGCAGUGGGGAAUAUUGCACAAUGGGGGAAACCCUGAUGCAGCGACGCCGCGUGAGUGAAGAAGUAUUUCGGUAUGUAAAGCUCUAUCGGCAGGGAAGAAAAUGACGGUACCUGACUAAGAAGCCCCGGCUAACUACGUGCCAGCAGCCGCGGUAAUACGUAGGGGGCAAGCGUUAUCCGGAUUUACUGGGGGUAAAGGGAGCGUAGACGGGGAUGCAAGUCAGAAGUGAAAGCCCGCGGCUCAACUGCGGGACUGCUUUUGAAACUGUAUGACUGGAGUGCAGGAGG
rnacentral:rRNA from 1 species